GCCUAUGACCAAACCACCCUUAAAGUGCCCAACUGUCAGAUCCCGGAAGCUAAGCAGGGUUAAGCCUUGUUUGUACUUAAGGGUGACCCACGAGGUUUUACCAGCUUUUGUAGGCA
rnacentral:rRNA from 1 species